AUAAUGUUUUAUUUAGAAUUAAAUGCAUACAGGUCUCCGUAAAGAUAGUGAAUUAUAAAUAUAUUCCUACAAACUUUAACUUACAGAAAAAAUAAUUCUAAUAUUUUUAAAUAUGUCCGUCUAAUUUGUUACCGUUAAAGAACUGUUAGAGAAUUAUUUAUAUUUUCAAUUUUACCAUCACAAAUAUAUAUAUUCCUCCAAAAGCCACAUCAGUAUAAUAUAAGAGGUGUAAAAAUAUUAAAUUAUCUCAUAAACCACUAACCAGGGUCAAGCAUUUAACCUAUGAUUAACUAAAUAUUUUUAACAAAUUCUAACAUUAGGGACAUAUUUGAAAAUAUUAGGACUUUUGCAGAAAUAAUAUAUGAAAGUAAAACUUUGUCGGAACUUAUAUGCAAUUAACCUUUUUAUUUAAUAUUUUUUAUGCAUUUUUU
rnacentral:lncRNA from 1 species